rnacentral:misc_RNA from 1 species
UGCCCCUCACUUGCCAAUACGUCUAGAUCAGCCAGGGCGUCGGCAUGUGUAGCGUAUUAUGUUGGGCUCUCUCGAGAUAAGGAUACGAUGUCCCUUUAUCGGUUGGUUUCCUGUGUGUGCGGCCCGUUCGUUUUUUUGUUACUUUCGCAUCGUUCGGUGCAUUCUGGGGGCUGUGUUGGCUUUUGGUGGCUUGCUUGGCCUUUUGGCUUUGCUUGUUGCUACUUGUCGGGCUGCUUUCGGGAAUGUCGACCGUGGAGGUGCAUGAGUGGUGUUUGGUUUGUUACGUGUGGAUGGCUGUUUGCUUGUGCAACAACGUUCACGCUGCAUACCUCUUCAGUUUUGCGGCAAGGCUUGGUUUGGCUUGUGCAUAUUGUGGGUUUCCUGUGUUGCAUACCUAGUUGAUGGAAAAGUGUGGGUUUUACGAUUUUCAUUUUCGUCUUGCGUCGUUCUUUUGGCGUGGGAUGAACAAUGAAGCGAUCUUUAUGAUCCAUCGUGCUGUCGCGUUUGCAACAAUGAUGUGGCCUAUGAAGCAUCGUUUGGUCUCUUGUAUACGGAAGCUCAUUUGGGCUUGGGUCUUUAUAAGAUCUUCGUUACGCCCUUGUUAAGCGUUCUCGCUUCUCCUAAACGAUUG